CUGUGUGGCCCCUCUGUGGCAUGGCCCCUGCUCUUGGUACCUGACAUAAUUUUGGACACAGUGAAUUUUGGACACAUGAACUGCAAGAAAGAUCUGAAGUGAGACUCGGGAUACAGAAUAGAAGUACCGGGGCACAGAGUCCAGUCCAGCAGAAUGGAGACUAAUUCUGUGGCCCGGCUUCACUGGCUCCACCAGCAAAGAGCAGAGAAG
rnacentral:lncRNA from 1 species